GACGUAGGGCGCGAGCGUUGUCCGGAUUUAUUGGGCGUAAAGAGCUCGUAGGCGGCUUGUCGCGUCGUUCGUGAAAAACUUGGGGCUCAACCCCCAAGCUUGCGGUCGAUACGGGCAGGCUGGAGUUCGGUAGGGGAGACUGGAAUUCCUGGUGUAGCGGUGAAAUGCGCAGAUAUCAGGAGGAACACCGGUGGCGAAGGCGGGUCUCUGGGCCGAUACUGACGCUGAGGAGCGAAAGCGUGGGGAGCGAACAGG
rnacentral:rRNA from 1 species